AUUAAUACUUUGUCCGUCUAAGAAAUAUUUUUGGCAAAAUCUUUGGCAAAAUGGUUAAAUUCGAUAAGAUUUAUACACAAUUUGUCGAAGGUUAGUAUUAUUGUUUGUUUUAAACUGUGAGAGAAGAUUAAUUGUGUAGUAGAACACACCUCUGAGGCUCUGACCGAGUAUUUAGGGCAAAAUGUGCCUUCAUAUUUGGCUUCGUAUAGCGUUUUAUAAUGUUUAUAUUUAUAAAACUAAAGUCUGGGUUAUAAACUGAAACAUGACCUUUAGUUUUUGAUAUUCUUCAUAGUCGAGUUUAAAUUGGCCUAAUUUAUAGUUAGUUACCACUAGAAAUGCGACGAUAUUUUGUUAAUAUAUCAUAUAUGCAACAGUGUUUACAAUUACUUUUGAAUAAUAAGUGAUUUGGUUUUGUUUCAGAUACUAUUACAUGUUGCUUCAUUUUACCUAGGCCUCGGGCCACUAACAACGUCUGCGCAGGAGGCUACAUUUUACCAUAAAUUGUAUUAAAAAAGUGAUUUGCUCAUUUGGCUGAUGUUACAGUUUUCUGAUGUGUUUUGUUUGGAUGAUAUUAGAACAAUUUCAAUAUGAAAGUGCAGGUGUCUUUAGACAUGAGCCAUAAUGUAUAUAUCAAAAUACUGAUAAAAAUACUGACAUAAUACUGAUAAAAUCCGUAUCCAGCUUGAUUGUAUUUGCAUUUGUUGUAUUUGCAUUGUUGCAGACAAAGUUGUGCAAUGGUGGGCUUAUGUCACAUACCGUACUCAUAUGUAAUUCCAUGUGCCUGCAUGUACAGUACUUUGAUGCCUCAAGAGAUGCUUCGAAUGUGUAAUAAAGGGCUGUUCGCAGGAGUUGGGUUGUCUGGCCUUAAAUUGCAUUGUUUUUAUGAUAUUUUAAGAUUGUAUUCAUAUGGCUGGAUCAUGUAUUCAUAUGCCAUUGCCACAAUGUCUGAUGUUCAAACAGGCUUUAAAAUCAGGUUACAAUGCAAUAUUGAAAAUAUGCAACAAUUUCACUGCUAAUAAUAUUCCAGAAAAUCCUGCCUCUUGGGCAGAUCUGGACUGAUUUGUCAGAGGGGGUUGGAGGUUUUCUACUUGUGAUCGGGCAAGGGGCCGGGAGCUAGCCAAGGGUGGUGGGUCAGAGUCAAACUCACUCAUGUGAACAGCUUCUAAGUCCUAAUUAUAUUGAUAAAUUAUGUACACUUUGGGAUGGUAAUGCAAUUUGUAAAAUAUUCCACAUUUUAUUUAAUAAAAUUUAAUUAUAUACAUUGUUUUUGUUGUUUAUAUGUUACCUUGGACAGUGUAUAUUUACACCUUUGGACCCUGUAAAUAAACACCUUUGGAGGGUGUGCCCAUUCUAAGCCAAAGACGUUUAAGAACAAUUGUCAAGCUAUUUGCAUGAUAAAAUAUAUUUAAAACUGCUCUCCAUAUACAUGUAAUGCAUGGUUCAAUUCUUGCUUUUACCAAGUAAAC